UACGUAGGGUCCGAGCGUUGUCCGGAAUUACUGGGCGUAAAGAGCUCGUAGGCGGUUUGUCGCGUUGUUCGUGAAAACUCACAGCUCAACUGUGGGCGUGCGGGCGAUACGGGCAGACUAGAGUGCUGCAGGGGAGACUGGAAUUCCUGGUGUAGCGGUGGAAUGCGCAGAUAUCAGGAGGAACACCGGUGGCGAAGGCGGGUCUCUGGGCAUGUCCUGACGCUGAGGAGCGAAAGUGUGGGGAGCGAACAGG
rnacentral:rRNA from 1 species